rnacentral:rRNA from 1 species
CGGUAUUUUGACCGUGCGAAGGUAGCGCAAUCACUUGUCUUUUAAAUGGAGACCCGUAUGAAUGGCAUAACGAGGGCUUAACUGUCUCCUCUUUCAAGUCAAUGAAAUUGAUCUUCCCGUGCAGAAGCGGGAAUAUAAACAUAAGACGAGAAGACCCUAUGGAGCUUUAGACACCAAGGCAGCCCACAUCAAACACCCUUAAACAAGAGACUAAACCAUAGUGGACCCUGCCCUAAUGUCUUUGGUUGGGGCGACCGCGGGGAAUUACAAAACCCCCACGUGGAAUGGGAACACCCCUCCUACAGCUAAGAGCUACAGCUCUAGUAAACAGAAAUUCUGACCAACAAGAUCCGGCAACGCCGAUCAACGGACCGAGUUACCCUAGGGAUAACAGCGCAAUCCUCUUUUAGAGCCCAUAUCGACAAGGGGGUUUACGACCUCGAUGUUGGAUCAGGACAUCCUAAU